CAGUAGGACCAAGUUUAUACCGUAGCUUGCUACACCAUAGACUGUGAGUUGCGAACGGGUGAGUAACGCGUAGGUAACCUACCUAUUAGAGGGGGAUAACUAUUGGAAACGAUAGCUAAUACCGCAUAACAGUAUGUAACACAUGUUAGAUGCUUGAAAGAUGCAAUUGCAUCGCUAGUAGAUGGACCUGCGUUGUAUUAGCUAGUAGGUAGGGUAAUGGCCUACCUAGGCAACGAUACAUAGCCGACCUGAGAGGGUGAUCGGCCACACUGGGACUGAGACACGGCCCAGACUCCUACGGGAGGCAGCAGUAGGGAAUCUUCGGCAAUGGGGGGAACCCUGACCGAGCAACGCCGCGUGAGUGAAGAAGGUUUUCGGAUCGUAAAGCUCUGUUGUUAAGGAAGAACGAGUGUGAGAAUGGAAAGUUCAUGCUGUGACGGUACUUAACCAGAAAGGGACGGCUAACUACGUGCCAGCAGCCGCGGUAAUACGUAGGUCCCGAGCGUUGUCCGGAUUUAUUGGGCGUAAAGCGAGCGCAGGCGGUUAGAAAAGUCUGAAGUGAAAGGCAGUGGCUCAACCAUUGUAGGCUUUGGAAACUGUUUAACUUGAGUGCAGAAGGGGAGAGUGGAAUUCCAUGUGUAGCGGUGAAAUGCGUAGAUAUAUGGAGGAACACCGGUGGCGAAAGCGGCUCUCUGGUCUGUAACUGACGCUGAGGCUCGAAAGCGUGGGGAGCGAACAGGAUUAGAUACCCUGGUAGUCCACGCCGUANACGAUGAGUGCUAGGUGUUAGGUCCUUUCCGGGACUUAGUGCCGCAGCUAACGCAUUAAGCACU
rnacentral:rRNA from 1 species